UACGUAGGGUGCAAGCGUUGUCCGGAAUUAUUGGGCGUAAAGGGCGCGUAGGCGGCCUGGCAAGUGGAAGGUGAAAUCCCUCGGCUUAACCGAGGAACUGCCCUCCAAACUGCUUGGCUUGAGUCCGGGAGAGGUGAGUGGAAUUCCCAGUGUAGCGGUGAAAUGCGUAGAUAUUGGGAGGAACACCAGUGGCGAAGGCGGCUCACUGGACCGGAACUGACGCUGAGGCGCGAAAGCGUGGGGAGCAAACGGG
rnacentral:rRNA from 1 species